UGUAAACAAGUCACCGCAAUUUGUUUUUGGUGGAAAUGUACACUUAAAAUACUUUAAAAUGUAAAGUUAUCUUGCAAAAUUAGAACCUGAAAGCCUAGAAAUGCGGAAUCGGUACAAACCAAACAUUUAACUUGUGAAUAACAUAGAAAAUAGAAGCCCUUAGUUUUGAUAUUUAUUUUAAAUGCUAGCCCAGACUGCCCAGUGGAGUUUUCAAAGAUAUAAGAAACACGGAAAUUAUUAGUAGUGUUCACCAUGAAUGCUUACAAAUUUCCAGAAAUUAAAAGGAAAUAGGAGGCGUGUGUUCAAAUAUUUUAAAGCAAGAUUUUGUUAGUGAUCAUGGAAGCCUAAAGUUGCAGGCCAUAUCCUUAUCAAAGCAAAAAGUCAAAAAUCUACAGCGUAUGAAUAGUAUGUAAACCUGAAGCCUGAAGCUGAGAUUGUGUUAGAAAGGGUUUCAACAUCAAACUAUACUGAACUCUAACCCUGAAAAUGUUAAUACAAAUCCAAAGCAAUUACCAGCAUGGCAGGAAAAUUAAAAGCAAAAGUUUCAUUGAAAUAAUAUUGUUUAUAAAUCAGGAUCAAAAUUACAUUACUUCACUUUGAAAAUAGGACCGGGUGAAGAAUAUUCAUAAUGCGGAGCUUAACCAGUUGAUAUAGUUAGUGCAGUUAUUGUGAUAGUGAAUGUGUUGAAUUGAAAUACUUAUUUCUGCAGAAAAACGUGAGCCUAGCUUAAAGGAUACUGUAUAAAUUUCUAAUGUUUUUUUUAUAACUGAUGUUUACCUACUUUUUGUGUUACAUCAUGUGGGGUUAAAAUAUUUUUUUUGGAAUAUAUUAUAUUCUUUUAAAAAUC
rnacentral:lncRNA from 1 species